AGGAUAGAGGCCUACCAUGGUGGUAACGGGUAACGGGGUGUUAGGGCACGACACCGGAGAGGGAGCCUGAGAAACGGCUACCACAUCCAAGGAUGGCAGCAGGCGCGCAAAUUACCCAAUCCCGACACGGGGAGGUAGUGACAAUAAAUAACAAUACGGGGUUCUUUCGGAUCUCGUAAUUGGAAUGAGUACAAUUUAAAUCUCUUAACGAGGAACAAUUGGAGGGCAAGUCUGGUGCCAGCAGCCGCGGUAAUUCCAGCUCCAAUAGCGUAUAUUAAAGUUGUUGCAGUUAAAAAGCUCGUAGUUGAAUUUCGGGAUCAAUUUAUUGGUCGUGCUAUUGUACGUACUGGUAUUAUUGAUUCAUACCUUCUGACGAACCAUGAUGUCAUUAAUUUGGUGUCAUGGGGAAUCAGGACUGUUACUUUGAAAAAAUUAGAGUGUUUAAGGCAGGCUCACGCUUGAAUACAUUAGCAUGGAAUAACGAAAUAGGACGUUUGAUUCUAUUUUGUUGGUUUCUAGGAUCGACGUAAUGAUUAAUAGGGAUAGUUGGGGGCAUUAGUAUUCAAUUGUCAGAGGUGAAAUUCUUGGAUUUAUUGAAGACUAACUACUGCGAAAGCAUUUGCCAAGGAUGUUUUCAUUAAUCAAGAACGAAAGUUAGGGGAUCGAAGACGAUCAGAUACCGUCGUAGUCUUAACCAUAAACUAUGCCGACUAGGGAUCGGAUGA
rnacentral:rRNA from 1 species